GAUGAACGCUGGCGGCGUGCUUAACACAUGCAAGUCGAACGGAAAGGCCCAAGCUUGCUUGGGUACUCGAGUGGCGAACGGGUGAGUAACACGUGGGUGAUCUGCCCUGCACUUCGGGAUAAGCCUGGGAAACUGGGUCUAAUACCGGAUAGGACCACUCCUUGGAGGUUGUGGUGGAAAGUUUUUUCGGUGUGGGAUGAGCUCGCGGCCUAUCAGCUUGUUGGUGGGGUAAUGGCCUACCAAGGCGUCGACGGGUAGCCGGCCUGAGAGGGUGUACGGCCACAGUCGGACUGAGAUACGGCCCAGGCUCCUACGGGAGGCAGCAGUGGGGGAUAUUGCACUAUGGGCGCGAGCCUGAUGCAGCGACGCCGCGUGGGGGAUGACGGCCUUCGGGUUGUAAUCUCCUUUCGCUAGGGACGAAGCGUUUUGUGACGGUACCUGGAGAAGAAGCACCGGCUAACUACGUG
rnacentral:rRNA from 1 species